rnacentral:sRNA from 1 species
GCUGGGCUUGGUGGUGCACUCCUGUAAUCCCAGAGACUUGGGAGACUGAGGCAGGAGGAUUGCAAAUUAGGGGUCAAUCUUGGCAAUUUAGUGAGAUCUUGUCUCAA